GCGAGUAUAGCUCAGUAGGUAGAGCGUCAGAUUGUGGUUCUGAAUGUCACGGGUUCGAGACCCGUUACUCGCCCCA
rnacentral:tRNA from 1 species